rnacentral:rRNA from 1 species
GAUGAACGCUAGCUACAGGCUUAACACAUGCAAGUCGAGGGGCAGCAUGAACAUAGCUUGCUAUGUUUGAUGGCGACCGGCGCACGGGUGCGUAACACGUAUCCAAUCUACCCAUGGCUCGGGGAUAGCCUUUCGAAAGAAAGAUUAAUACCCGAUGGUCUCGGUUUAAGGCAUCUUAGACUGAGUAAAGAUUUAUCGGCGAUGGAUGAGGAUGCGUCUGAUUAGGUAGAUGGCGGGGUAACGGCCCACCAUGCCUACGAUCAGUAGGGGUUCUGAGAGGAAGGUCCCCCACAUUGGAACUGAGACACGGUCCAAACUCCUACGGGAGGCAGCAGUGAGGAAUAUUGGUCAAUGGACGAGAGUCUGAACCAACCAAGUAGCGUGAAGGAUGACUGCCCUAUGGGUUGUAAACUUCUUUUGUUUGGGAAUAAAGUUCGGGACGUGUCCCGUUUUGUAUGUACCAUUCGAAUAAGCAUCGGCUAAUUCCGUGCCAGCAGCCGCUGUAAAAC